rnacentral:lncRNA from 1 species
UAAUUUUGGUUAAGAGUUGUUAUAUAUUUAUAUAUAUAUUAUGUAAUAUAUUUAAAUUCACUUGACUAAAACUUUACAAAAUUUCUAAUUAAAUGCUUGAUAGGUAGUGCAUCAGUAAGUUUUUUUAAUUUUACAACUAAAGAUAACAGCUGCUUGCUUUAUAUUUGGUGAUUAGUUAGGAACUAUUUCUAACCAGAUACACGAUAGUGUUAAAGAUAUAUUAGCCAUAGGAUUUAUUUAAGAAAAAAAAUUGGGUAAUGUAAUUUUAAUUGAAAGAAUUUCCAUUUUAUGUUAAAAGAAAUAGCUCUGGGAAACUGUUACAUUAAAUAUGCUGUUUUGUGAGCAACCUAUCCAUCGAGUAAAAAGUCAUUGGGAGGGAAAUAAGCUUCCAUCGACCAGGAAUGCCAGUUUCUGUUUCCAGUUUUUUUUUUUACCAUUAACGAGAUGAAUGAAGACAUAAAAUAUUCCAAUGAAGAUUCCAAUUUAUCCACCAAGAUCUUCCUGUAAUUGUUUGGAAGACUCGAUUAGUUUUGAAAUAAAGAACUAUGUUUAUUUCUGUGCAGGGUUACGGAAGAACCAGAGGACCACAUGGUGUUUACCAUUCUCAUCAGAGAUAAAAGUCUUAAAUCAUGGUCUGGGGGGACAACAU